GGCUGCACGGUGGCGCAAUUGGUAGCACUGUUGCUUUGCAGCAAGAAGGCCCUGGGUUCAACUCCCGGACGGCGGUCU